rnacentral:rRNA from 1 species
CGACCAGACUCCUACGGGAGGCAGCAGUGGGGGAUAUUGCACAAUGGGGGAAACCCUGAUGCAGCGACGCCGCGUGAGCGAUGAAGUAUUUCGGUAUGUAAAGCUCUAUCAGCAGGGAAGAAAAUGACGGUACCUGACUAAGAAGCCCCGGCUAACUACGUGCCAGCAGCCGCGGUAAUACGUAGGGGGCAAGCGUUAUCCGGAUUUACUGGGUGUAAAGGGGGCGCAGACGGCGAUGCAAGCCAGGAGUGAAAGCCCGGGGCCCAACCCCGGGACUGCUCUUGGAACUGCGUGGCUAGAGUGCAGGAGGGGCAGGCGGAAUUCCUGGUGUAGCGGUGAAAUGCGUAGAUAUCAGGAGGAACACCGGUGGCGAAGGCGGCCUGCUGGACUGCAACUGACGUUGAGGCCCGAAAGCGUGGGAAGCAAACAGGAUUAGAUACCCCAGUAU